AUGACUAUGAACAACCUAAUUCGCAAGCCUUCACAACAGAGAAAGUAAACAGGCCUCUUUUUAUGUAAUAACUCAAGCAACCAUCAAAAUCCCUAUGUCAGGUAAUACAAUUAUGAAAAUUUGGGGGGUGAAGCAGGAUUUCUGGCCUAUUAAUGCCCAACAACCAAAGCAACCAUAAUACUUGCAUGCCAGGAUUUGUCACCGAAAUUUAGGACCAUUAACAUCUAUGAAGGGGAGCAGGAUAUAUGUCCACAGGUUGAUAUCGUAAGUGAUCAU
rnacentral:lncRNA from 1 species